GGAGAUGGUAGCUCAGUGGUAAAGUGCAUGCUUUGUAUGUGUGAACGUCCAGGGUUCAAUCCCCAUUUUCUCCC